UUGUUGAACUGCUGAAGUGUGUCACAACCCGGGAGUCUCAAAGCUCCUCUCUGGAUGGCUGUGUGACCACCAGUGUGUGAUGCUGUACACCAAACCUCUGAGGAACCUCCCAGUGACUGCUGUGGAGCCCUGAUCUCCCAGGUUCACACUUUGCUCACAAUACACUUGUGAAGAUCAUCACCUGGAAUCGAGUGUGCCACGCUACAGGAAGUGGAUGUACUGAGUCAGUCUUUAGUGAAAGGGCUGCUUGUUCCUCGAGCCUUCCACUUUUCUAAACAGAAUUAAAGGCUGCUUUUCGAUACUACUCCUCUCCUCUGCCUUUUGUGUUUGGUUGUCAAGGAUGUGCUAAGGAAAAGCGCACCCCACGAGGCUGGUCUCAGGGCCAGAGGCUGGCUGAUACCCACGGGAAACAUAACUGCUGAUUUCAAAGCUAGGA